AUUAAUGGGUCUGUUUUUGGGAUUUUCUCUGUGUUUUUGUGAUUUGCACAAAUGCGACAGGAAGUGAAAAUUUGUAUAUAUUUUCUUGAUUAGAUGAGGGUCGAGAGGUAAAUAUCAUAAUUCAUGAGUUAUGGUCAGUAUUUUUAUUUUUAUAUAGGAGUGGGGAGUUUGGUACUUCUCCCAUUUGGAGACGAAAAAUUUUAUUCAUCAUUCCCUACACCACACACUACAUAUAAUUUUUUAUUUGUUAUUUUUUUCUUUAUAAAUGUAUGGUAUAUUAAUGAUGAGUAGAAGUAUUCCUUUAAUUUAGCAAGAAUAAAAAAAUAUAAAAUUAAAAAAAAAAGUGUAAUGUGUGGUGUAGAAAAUGAUGAGUAAAGGACCUUAGCUAGGGUCGGUCUUGGUCAGAGAUUUGCUUUUAAAAAUUAGAUUCACAUUCUUUACCAUACAUUCCAAAUCAUCACACAUGCUUUUUCUUUCGAAAUGCUUCAUGUACACUCAAGUAAUAUUUAAAUAGUACUCAUGAAUCUAUAUGCUCCAGAAAUAUCAUAUAUAGAAAAUGUUUUCUACUAUCUCUAAUUAUUCAAUAAAUACAUAAUUUAACAAGAACUAUAUAUUUGAAAUUAAUAAUACCAAAAAAAGAAAAAAAAAUAGUCUGGUUUCUAGAAAUUUAAGUUUUACUAAUUUAGGAUGAAUCCCAUUAAUGAUCACAACAGAGGAAUAACUAAUAGUAAUUCUGUCGUGCUACCAGUUUAUUUUUUCUUUCAUCAUAUUUGUGACGUAGAUUGAUUUUUAUGUUAAUGAUAUACAAGGAGACAACUUUAACUUUGUUGUCUAGCUGAGCAUUGAUAGGAAAUAAUGAAUUGAACUUCACUUACUAUUAUAGCCUUGUUCUGUUUUGCUAAACUCUUGUUUGGGAUCAACCAGUGCAUCAGUUUUUCAAGUGUUGAAGAUGCUUCAUUUUCCCAUCUCUACUAUUGCUUUUGUGUCGAUAUUGAUCAGCUUUGGGGUCGUGUGUAAGAUUAAUUUCAAAACUCGUUGGCACCCAAAACAGUUGAAGCUUUUAUUUGCAUACAAAAUUGGUUGAAAGCUCCCUCCAUUAAUCAUGACUUCCAAGACUUGAUGGAAGAUGCCGAAAGCUAUAAGCUAGAAAAUGAGAAAACUUUGAAUAAUGUUUUGAACAUGGAUGGUUGAAGAAUACGAGGAUAUGAUUCAAUUUCAGCAGAGGUUCCUGACCCAAAAGCGAAAAGGAAAAUUAAGAACCCCAAUUAUAAAGGGAAGUGGAAGACUCCUUGGAUUGAUAAUCCAGGACGAUAUCAUUCUUGGAGCAAAUACAAGAACCAUUGAAGGACCCAUAAUCACUGAAAAGAACUGUGAAAAGAUUCAUUAUAUGGCACCAAACAUAUAUUGUUGUGGAGCAGGAACUGCUGCCGAUACAAAGGCAAUAACAGGCCAGUUCACAACUGCAACUGCAUCGCUACCAUAUGGGUCAAGAAUCAAGGUUGUCACAGCACUCACCCUCAUGAAGAAUCACCUUUUUAAGUGAAGUUUCAUUUGUUGCAAACCAAGAAAUGACAGUUGCAUUUGAGUUAAUGUUACUGGACUUCAUCUGCAUACUUACGUGCAAAAUUGAGGGUGUAGCUCACAAGUGCUGCACAGUUGGAUACACUCCCCACCUUCGAAUCCUUCGAAUCUUGAUCCUUCUACUAUGUUUGAUUCGGCGCAUGUAGAAUAGAUGCCGUCUUCGUCGCGCAUUCCUAAAUGCAUCCAGCGAUCCGAACUAUCCAAUUCUAACUAUUCGGCUAUGUUUCAACUUUUCCAAACUAAGAAUCUAGAGGAUCCUAUGCUCUCUCCUAUUGUAUUCUGUAUUUUAAUUCAAUGCAAGUUUGUUGAAAAAAAAAAAGAAUUACAAAUUGAGGGUGUUUCUAUCCAUCAAACCAAUAUAUAUAUAUAUAUAUAUAGAUUCUAAGAUUUUCAUAUGCUUUUUCAAAGUUAA